CCACCGAGUGUGCAGUAGGGUCUGUGUUUAGGAGAGGUGACUCAACACUAACCGAGUGUGCAGUAGGGUCUGUGUUUAGGAGAGGUGACUCAACACUAACCCGAGUGUGCAGUAGGGUCUGUGUUUAGGAGAGGUGACUCAACACUAACCCGAGUGUGCAGUAGGGUCUGUGUUUAGGAGAGGUGACUCAACACUAACCCGAGUGUGCAGUAGGGUCUGUGUUUAGGAGAGGUGACUCAACACUAACCCGAGUGUGCAGUAGGGUCUGUGUUUAGGAGAGGUGACUCAACACUAACCGAGUGUGCAGUAGGGUCUGUGUUUAGGAGAGGUGACUCAACACUAACCCGAGUGUGCAGUAGGGUCUGUGUUUAGGAGAGGUGACUCAACACUAACCCAAGUGUGCAGUAGGGUCUGUGUUUAGGAGAGGUGACUCAACACUAACCCGAGUGUGCAGUAGGGUCUGUGUUUAGGAGAGGUGACUCAACACUAACCCGAGUGUGCAGUAGGGUCUGUGUUUAGGAGAGGUGACUCAACACUAACCCGAGUGUGCAGUAGGGUCUGUGUUUAGGAGAGGUGACUCAACACUAACCCGUGUGUGCAGUAGGGUCUGUGUUUAGGAGAGGUGCUUGUGUGCCCCCCCCCCCCCCUGCUGGUGAUGCUCAGUUCGCUGCAUGUCUGGAGCUGUUCAUGACCAUUUUGUUUUUGUAUUAUAUUUAUACAUAAGUGCCUUAACCCAGGAGACCCUAGGCAUUGUGCUCUCUCUCUGUGUGUGUGUGUGUGUGUGUGUGUGUGUGUGUAUACGCGGUCAUGUUUUGUCGCUGGCAUUAGCAGAUUUUUAGGGGAGUGAGCUCAUCUGUAUACCCCUCCCCCCUGCCCCCGCCCCCCCCCCCCCCCCCACCGCACUUCCUUCCCAUAAAAGGGAUUGGGCGUGGCACACGCGGUUGGUUGGGUCUUGUGGAGCAGUGCAGGGGUUAGGGCAGCGGGGGGCUAAGGCCGAGGGAUCCCCGGGUAGGGCGUGCGGGCCCUCACCUUUGCUUGCAUUCUCCGGUAGGGAAAAGAACCGCCCCCCCCCUCUGAACCCUUCAUCGUGUGCACGCAUCAGCCGUGGUUGUCAGAUUGUGUUUGUCCGAUUCCAAGCUCUUUCACGCUGUCUAAAAUAUCAGAAAAGACCAAAGUUGUGUUGUUUUUUUUUUUUUUUUUGUUUAACAUUUUUUUUAUUUUGAUUCUUUUCUUAAGCCAUUGGGGGGGUGGGGGGGUGGGGGUUGUAGUUCAUUGAAAAAUGCGCGCCACACAUAUUAUAACUGUAACGGAUGGUUUGGGAGCAAGAAAGUGUCAGACUGCUUGGACAUUCACUUCCUGGUUCCUGCAGUCGUAGACCUGGAUAUCUCACCUUCUGGGACAGAAAGCGAAAGAGAGGAGGAGGAGGAUGAGGAAGAAAGAGAGGGGGGGGGGAGAUGAGUCCUUCCUGAACUCAUCAGCUCUGGUACAUGCCUGACCAGUCUCUAAUUGCGCUAUUGACAGACUCCUUCCGCAGCGUUUCUGUUGGUCCUUACAGGAAUGAAGAAAAAAAAAACUUAACGCGAAGGAUCAUAUUAAUGGUGACUUUUUCUUUUCCCCUUUUUGUCAGAAUGUUUCACUGUUUUUUUGUUACCAUCUUCUUUUUAUAUUUAAGUAUGCAGUAACUUGUUUUUUUGUACUGUACAUUUGCUGUAGUUUGAAUGCAUAUUGCACUUUUUUUUACAUUUGUUAAAACGAUGUACUGUAUGUGUUUAUUAUGAAAAUAAACCUUUUUUCAUUCAA